rnacentral:rRNA from 1 species
UACGUAGGCAGCAAGCGUUGUUCGGAGUUACUGGGCGUAAAGGGUGUGUAGGCGGUUGUUUAAGUUUGGUGUGAAAUCUCCCGGCUUAACUGGGAGGGUGCGCCGAAUACUGAAUGACUUCGAGUGCGGGAGAGGAAAGUGGAAUUCCUGGUGUAGCGGUGAAAUGCGUAGAUAUCAGGAGGAACACCUGCGGUGUAGACAGCUUACUGGACCACGACUGACGCUGAGACACGAAAGCGUGGGUAGCAAACAGG